rnacentral:rRNA from 1 species
CCUACGGGAGGCAGCAGUGAGGAAUAUUGGUCAAUGGACGAGAGUCUGAACCCGCCAAGUAGCGUGAAGGAUGACUGCCCUAUGGGUUGUAAACUUCUUUUAUAUGGGAAUAAAAUGUUCCACGUGUGGGAUUUUGUAUGUACCAUAUGAAUAAGGAUCGGCUAACUCCGUGCCAGCAGCCGCGGUAAUACGGAGGAUCCGAGCGUUAUCCGGAUUUAUUGGGUUUAAAGGGAGAGUAGGUGGAUUGUUAAGUCCGUUGUGAAAGUUUGCGGCUCAACCGUAAAAUUGCAGUUGAAACUGGCAGUCUUGAGUACAGUAGAGGUAGGCGGAAUUCGUGGUGUAGCGGUGAAAUGCUUAGAUAUCACGAAGAACUCCGAUUGCGAAGGCAGUUCACUGGACUGCAACUGACACUGAGGCUCGAAAGUGUGGGUAUCAAACAGGAUUAGAUACCCGGGUAGUA